GACGAACGCUGGCGGCGUGCUUAACACGUGCAAGUCGAACGGAAAGGCCCUGCUUUUGUGGGGUGCUCGAGUGGCGAACGGGUGAGUAACACGUGAGUAACCUGCCCUUGACUUUGGGAUAACUUCAGGAAACUGGGGCUAAUACCGGAUAGGAGCUCCUGCUGCAUGGUGGGGGUUGGAAAGUUUCGGCGGUUGGGGAUGGACUCGCGGCUUAUCAGCUUGUUGGUGGGGUAGUGGCUUACCAAGGCUUAGACGGGUAGCCGGCCUGAGAGGGUGACCGGCCACAUUGGGACUGAGAUACGGCCCAGACUCCUACGGGAGGCAGCAGUGGGGAAUAUUGCACAAUGGGCGGAGGCCUGAUGCAGCAACGCCGCGUGCGGGAUGACGGCCUUCGGGUUGUAAACCGCUUUCGCCUGUGACGAAGCGUGAGUGACGGUAAUGGGUAAAGAAGCACCGGCUAACUACGUG
rnacentral:rRNA from 1 species